AUUGAACGCUGGCGGCAUGCCUUACACAUGCAAGUCGAACAGCAGCAUGGAGAGCUUGCUCUCUGAUGGCGAGUGGCGAACGGGUGAGUAAUGCAUCGGAACGUACCGUGUAAUGGGGGAUAACGUAGCGAAAGUUACGCUAAUACCGCAUACGACCUGAGGGUGAAAGCAGGGGGUCGCAAGACCUUGCGUUAUACGAGCGGCCGAUGUCAGAUUAGCUAGUUGGUGAGGUAAAGGCUCACCAAGGCGACGAUCUGUAGCGGGUCUGAGAGGAUGAUCCGCCACACUGGGACUGAGACACGGCCCAGACUCCUACGGGAGGCAGCAGUGGGGAAUUUUGGACAAUGGGGGCAACCCUGAUCCAGCAAUGCCGCGUGAGUGAAGAAGGCCUUCGGGUUGUAAAGCUCUUUUGUCAGGGAAGAAACACCGGCUCUAACACAGUCCGGGAAUGACGGUACCUGAAGAGUAAGCACCGGCUAACUACGUGCCAGCCGCCGCCGUAA
rnacentral:rRNA from 1 species